UACGUAGGGGGCAAGCGUUGUCCGGAAUCAUUGGGCGUAAAGAGCGUGUAGGCGGUUCGGUAAGUCUGCUGUGAAAGUCGGGGGCUCAACCCUCGAAUGCCGGUGGAUACUGUCGGACUAGAGUGCGGAAGAGGCGAGUGGAAUUCCUGGUGUAGCGGUGAAAUGCGCAGAUAUCAGGAGGAACACCAAUUGCGAAGGCAGCUCGCUGGGACGUUACUGACGCUGAGACGCGAAAGCGUGGGGAGCAAACAGG
rnacentral:rRNA from 1 species